rnacentral:rRNA from 1 species
CUGGCUCAGAACGAACGCUGGCGGCGCGUUUAAGCAUGCAAGUCGAGCGGCAAGGGCCUUCGGGCCCUAGAGCGGCGGACGGGUGAGUAACACGUGGACAAUCUGCCCCCCGGCCCGGGAUAGCCCAGGGAAACCUGGAUUAAUACCGGAUGAGACGGGACCCGCGAUGGCGGGAUCCGGGAAAGGCGCUGCGGCGCCGCCGGGGGAUGAGUCUGCGUCCCAUUAGCUGGACGGCGGGGUAACGGCCCACCGUGGCGACGAUGGGUAGCCGGCCUGAGAGGGUGGACGGCCACAUUGGAACUGAGACACGGUCCAGACUCCUACGGGAGGCAGCAGCUAAGAAUCUUCCGCAAUGGGCGAAAGCCUGACGGAAGCGACGCCGCGUGAACGAAGAAGGCCGUGAGGUUGUAAAGUUCUUUUCGGGAGGGGGAACAACCGUGGCAGGGAAUGGCCGCGGGAUGACGUGAAUCCCGGAAUAAGCCCCGGCUAACUACGUGCCAGCCGCCGC